rnacentral:rRNA from 1 species
UAGGGAAUCUUCGGCAAUGGGGGCAACCCUGACCGAGCAACGCCGCGUGAGUGAAGAAGUUUUUCGGAUCGUAAAGCUCUGUUGUAAGAGAAGAACGUGUGUGAGAGUGGAAAGUUCACACAGUGACGGUAACUUACCAGAAAGGGACGGCUAACUACGUGCCAGCAGCCGCGGUAAUACGUAGGUCCCGAGCGUUGUCCGGAUUUAUUGGGCGUAAAGCGAGCGCAGGCGGUUUAAUAAGUCUGAAGUUAAAGGCAGUGGCUUAACCAUUGGUCGCUUUGGAAACUGUUAAACUUGAGUGCAGAAGGGGAGAGUGGAAUUCCAUGUGUAGCGGUGAAAUGCGUAGAUAUAUGGAGGAACACCGGUGGCGAAAGCGGCUCUCUGGUCUGUAACUGACGCUGAGGCUCGAAAGCGUGGGGAGCAAACAGG